rnacentral:rRNA from 1 species
AGAGUUUGAUCCUGGCUCAGGAUGAACGCUGGCGGCGUGCUUAACACAUGCAAGUCGAACGAACCUUCGGGUUAGUGGCGGACGGGUGAGUAACGCGUGGGAAUCUGCCCUCAGGAGGGGGAUAACGGUUGGAAACGACCGCUAAUACCCCAUAUGCCGAGAGGUGAAAUGAAUUUCGCCUGAGGAUGAGCCCGCGUCUGAUUAGCUUGUUGGUGAGGUAAUGGCUCACCAAGGCUUCGAUCAGUAGCUGGUCUGAGAGGAUGAUCAGCCACACUGGGACUGAGACACGGCCCAGACUCCUACGGGAGGCAGCAGUGGGGAAUUUUCCGCAAUGGGCGCAAGCCUGACGGAGCAACGCCGCGUGAGGGACGAAGGCCUCUGGGCUGUAAACCUCUUUUCUCAAGGAAGAAGAUAUGACGGUACUUGAGGAAUAAGCCACGGCUAAUUCCGUGCCAGCAGCCGCGGUAAUACGGGAGUGGCAAGCGUUAUCCGGAAUUAUUGGGCGUAAAGCGUCCGCAGGCGGCCCUUCAAGUCUGCUGUUAAAGCGUGGAGCUUAACUCCAUUAAUGCAGUGGAAACUGUUGGGCUUGAGUAUGGUAGGGGCAGAGGGAAUUCCCGGUGUAGCGGUGAAAUGCGUAGAUAUCGGGAAGAACACCAGUGGCGAAGGCGCUCUGCUGGGCCAUAACUGACGCUCAUGGACGAAAGCCAGGGGAGCGAAAGGGAUUAGAUACCCCUGUAGUCCUGGCCGUAAACGAUGAACACUAGGUGUCGGGGGAAUCGACCCCUUCGGUGUCGUAGCUAACGCGUUAAGUGUUCCGCCUGGGGAGUACGCACGCAAGUGUGAAACUCAAAGGAAUUGACGGGGGCCCGCACAAGCGGUGGAGUAUGUGGUUUAAUUCGAUGCAACGCGAAGAACCUUACCAGGGUUUGACAUCCUGCGAACCUCUAAGAAAUUAGAGGGUGCCUUCGGGAAUGCAGUGACAGGUGGUGCAUGGCUGUCGUCAGCUCGUGUCGUGAGAUGUUGGGUUAAGUCCCGCAACGAGCGCAACCCACGUUUUUAGUUGCCAGCAUUUAGUUGGGCACUCUAGAAAGACCGCCGGUGAUAAACCGGAGGAAGGUGUGGAUGACGUCAAGUCAUCAUGCCCCUUACAUCCUGGGCUACACACGUACUACAAUGCUACGGACAAAGGGCAGCAAGCUCGCGAGAGCAAGCAAAUCCCAUAAACCGUGGCUCAGUUCAGAUCGUAGGCUGCAACUCGCCUACGUGAAGUAGGAAUCGCUAGUAAUCGCAGGUCAGCAUACUGCGGUGAAUACGUUCCCGGGCCUUGUACACACCGCCCGUCACACCAUGGAAGUUGGCCACGCCCGAAGUCGUUACUCCAACCCUUGUGGAGGAGGACGCCGAAGGUGGGGCUGAUGACUGGGGUGAAGUCGUAACAAGGUAGCCGUACCGGAAGGUGCGGCUG